AACGAACGCUGGCGGCAUGCCUAACACAUGCAAGUCGAACGAAGGCUUCGGCCUUAGUGGCGCACGGGUGCGUAACGCGUGGGAAUCUGCCCUUAGGUUCGGAAUAACAGCUGGAAACGGCUGCUAAUACCGGAUGAUAUCGCGAGAUCAAAGAUUUAUCGCCUGAGGAUGAGCCCGCGUUGGAUUAGGUAGUUGGUGGGGUAAAGGCCUACCAAGCCGACGAUCCAUAGCUGGUCUGAGAGGAUGAUCAGCCACACUGGGACUGAGACACGGCCCAGACUCCUACGGGAGGCAGCAGUGGGGAAUAUUGGACAAUGGGCGAAAGCCUGAUCCAGCAAUGCCGCGUGAGUGAUGAAGGCCCUAGGGUUGUAAAGCUCUUUUACCCGGGAAGAUAAUGACUGUACCGGGAGAAUAAGCCCCGGCUAACUCCGUGCCAGCAGCCGCGGUAAUACGGAGGGGGCUAGCGUUGUUCGGAAUUACUGGGCGUAAAGCGCACGUAGGCGGCUUUGUAAGUCAGAGGUGAAAGCCUGGAGCUCAACUCCAGAACUGCCUUUGAGACUGCAUCGCUUGAAUCCAGGAGAGGUCAGUGGAAUUCCGAGUGUAGAGGUGAAAUUCGUAGAUAUUCGGAAGAACACCAGUGGCG
rnacentral:rRNA from 1 species